AGUGAACGCUGGCGGUAGGCCUAACACAUGCAAGUCGAACGGCAGCACAGUAAGAGCUUGCUCUUACGGGUGGCGAGUGGCGGACGGGUGAGGAAUACAUCGGAAUCUACUUUUUCGUGGGGGAUAACGUAGGGAAACUUACGCUAAUACCGCAUACGACCUACGGGUGAAAGCAGGGGAUCUUCGGACCUUGCGCGAUUGAAUGAGCCGAUGUCGGAUUAGCUAGUUGGCGGGGUAAAGGCCCACCAAGGCGACGAUCCGUAGCUGGUCUGAGAGGAUGAUCAGCCAAACUGGAACUGAGACACGGUCCAGACUCCUACGGGAGGCAGCAGUGGGGAAUAUUGGAAAAUGGGCGAAAGCCUGAUCCAGCCAUACCGCGUGGGUGAAGAAGGCCUUCGGGUUGUAAAGCCCUUUUGUUGGGAAAGAAAAGCAGCAGGUUAAUACCCCGCUGUUCUGACGGUACCCAAAGAAUAAGCACCGGCUAACUUCGU
rnacentral:rRNA from 1 species